rnacentral:misc_RNA from 1 species
AAGUCGUAACAAGGUUUCCGUAGGUGAACCUGCGGAAGGAUCAUUAUUACGUAUCCACGUAUCAAACCAAAUCGUGAACUGUUUCCCGUCUGAUGAGGAUUUCUGCGAGUGUUUGAACAUUUAUUAAAUGCAUGGUGAGGACUCCUAGUCGCAAGACUGGUUUCUUCGAAAUGGCACUCGGUCCUGGUUGACUUGCCCUCUCGGGGGGUUUCAGCCAGCUCAUUAGAUGUGGUUGAAUUUCAAUCACUAUGCUAAAACUAUUAACCCCUUGUAAAACACUUGAACUAAAUUACAGAGACAAGACCCUUAACCGGGAAACUAUCUCUGGAUAAACCGAAACUUAAGAAACAACUCUUAACAACGGAUAUCUUGGUUCUC